GUGGGGAAUCUUGCGCAAUGGGCGAAAGCCUGACGCAGCCAUGCCGCGUGAAUGAUGAAGGUCUUAGGAUUGUAAAAUUCUUUCACCGGGGACGAUAAUGACGGUACCCGGAGAAGAAGCUCCGGCUAACUUCGUGCCAGCAGCCGCGGUAAUACGAAGGGGGCUAGCGUUGCUCGGACUUACUGGGCGUAAAGGGCGCGUAGGCGGACAGCUUAGUCAGAGGUGAAAGCCCAGGGCUCAACCUUGGAAUUGCCUUUGAUACUGGCUGUCUUGAGUUUGGGAGAGGUGAGUGGAACUCCGAGUGUAGAGGUGAAAUUCGUAGAUAUUCGGAAGAACACCAGUGGCGAAGGCGACUCACUGGCCCAAUACUGACGCUGAGGCGCGAAAGCGUGGGGAGCAAACAGGAUUAGAAACCCGGGUAGUCC
rnacentral:rRNA from 1 species